UACGUAGGGUGCAAGCGUUGUCCGGAAUUAUUGGGCGUAAAGAGCUCGUAGGCGGUUUGUUGCGUCGGCUGUGAAAUCCCGAGGCUCAACCUCGGGUCUGCAGUCGAUACGAGCAAACUAGAGUGUUGCAGGGGAGACUGGAAUUCCUGGUGUAGCGGUGAAAUGCGCAGAUAUCAGGAGGAACACCGGUGGCGAAGGCGGUUCUCUGGGCAUUACCUGACGUGAGGAGCGAAAGUGUGGGGAGCGAACAGG
rnacentral:rRNA from 1 species